GGGGCUAUAGCUCAGCCGGGAGAGCGCUUGCAUGGCAUGCAAGAGGUCGGCGGUUCGAUCCCGCCUAGCUCCA
rnacentral:tRNA from 1 species